CGGGACCGGGGUGAGUAAUGUCUGGGAAACUGCCCGAUGGAGGGGGGUAACUACUGGAAACGGUAGCUAAUACCGCAUAACGUCGCAAGACCAAAGAGGGGGACCUUCGGGCCUCUUGCCAUCGGAUGUGCCCAGAUGGGAUUAGCUAGUAGGUGGGGUAAUGGCUCACCUAGGCGACGAUCCCUAGCUGGUCUGAGAGGAUGACCAGCCACACUGGAACUGAGACACGGUCCAG
rnacentral:rRNA from 1 species